rnacentral:rRNA from 1 species
UACGAAGGGGGCUAGCGUUGUUCGGAAUUACUGGGCGUAAAGCGCACGUAGGCGGUAUAUUUAAGUCAGGGGUGAAAUCCCGGGGCCUCAACCCCGGAACUGCCUUUGAUACUGGGUAUCUGGAGUAUGGAAGAGGUGAGUGGAAUUCCGGAGUGUAGAGGUGAAAUUCGUAGAUAUUCGGAGGAACACCAGUGGCGAAGGCGGCUCACUGGUCCACUUACGUGACGCUGAGGUGCGGAAAGCGUGGGGAGCAAACAGGG